AGAGUUUGAUCCUGGCUCAGAUUGAACGCUGGCGGCAGGCCUAACACAUGCAAGUCGGACGGUAGCACAGAGAGCUUGCUCUUGGGUGACGAGUGGCGGACGGGUGAGUAAUGCCUAGGAAUCUGCCUGGUAGUGGGGGACAACGUUUCGAAAGGAACGCUAAUACCGCAUACGUCCUACGGGAGAAAGCAGGGGACCUUCGGGCCUUGCGCUAUCAGAUGAGCCUAGGUCGGAUUAGCUAGUUGGUGGGGUAAUGGCUCACCAAGGCGACGAUCCGUAACUGGUCUGAGAGGAUGACCAGCCACACUGGAACUGAGACACGGUCCAGACUCCUACGGGAGGCAGCAGUGGGGAAUAUUGCACAAUGGGCGCAAGCCUGAUGCAGCCAUGCCGCGUGUAUGAAGAAGGCCUUCGGGUUGUAAAGUACUUUCAGCGGGGAGGAAGGCGAUGCGGUUAAUAACCGCGUCGAUUGACGUUACCCGCAGAAGAAGCACCGGCUAACUCCGUGCCAGCAGCCGCGGUAAU
rnacentral:rRNA from 1 species